UGGGGAAUUUUGCACAAUGGGCGGAAGCCUGAUGCAGCGACGCCGCGUGGAGGAAGAAGGCCUUCGGGUUGUAAACUCCUUUUGUAGGGGAAAAUGAUGAUGGUACCUUACGAAUAAGCCACGGCUAACUCUGUGCCAGCAGCCGCGGUAAGACAGAGGUGGCGAGCGUUGUUCGGAAUUACUGGGCUUAAAGGGCGCGUAGGCGGUGGUACAAGUCUGAGGUGGAAUACUACAGCUUAACUGUGGAACUGCCUUGGAAACUGUAUUACUUGAGUUAGGCAGGGGAAGGCGGAAUUUCUGGUGUAGCGGUGACAUGCGUAGAUAUCAGGAGGAAGGCCUGUGGCGAAGGCGGCCUUCUGGGCCUUAACUGACGCUGAGGCGCGAAAGCGUGGGGAGCAAA
rnacentral:rRNA from 1 species